rnacentral:rRNA from 1 species
AAUAUUGCACAAUGGGGGAAACCCUGAUGCAGCGACGCCGCGUGAGGGAUGACGGCCUUCGGGUUGUAAACCUCUUUUAGUAAGGAAGAAGCCUUCGGGUGACGGUACUUGCAGAAAAAGCACCGGCUAACUACGUGCCAGCAGCCGCGGUAAUACGUAGGGUGCAAGCGUUGUCCGGAAUUAUUGGGCGUAAAGAGCUCGUAGGCGGUUUGUCGCGUCUGCUGUGAAAUCCCGGGGCUCAACCCCGGGCCUGCAGUGGGUACGGGCAGACUAGAGCGCGGUAGGGGAGAUUGGAAUUCCUGGUGUAGCGGUGGAAUGCGCAGAUAUCAGGAGGAACACCGAUGGCGAAGGCAGCCCCCUGGGAUAAUACUGACGCUCAGACACGAAAGCGUGGGGAGCAAACAG